CCUACGGGAGGCAGCAGUGGGGAAUAUUGGACAAUGGGGGGAACCCUGAUCCAGCGACGCCGCGUGAGUGAAGAAGUAUUUCGGUAUGUAAAGCUCUAUCAGCAGGGAAGAAAGAAAUGACGGUACCUGACUAAGAAGCCCCGGCUAACUACGUGCCAGCAGCCACGGUAAUACGUCGGGGGCAAGUGUUAUCCGGAUUUACUGGGUGUAAAGGGAGCGUAGACGGCGAUGCAAGUCUGAAGUGAAAGGCGGGGGCCCAACCCCCGGACUGCUUUGGAAACUGUAUGGCUGGAGUGCAGGGGAGGUAAGUGGAAUUCCUAGUGUAGCGGUGAAAUGCGUAGAUAUUAGGAGGAACACCAGUGGCGAAGGCGGCUUACUGGACUGUAACUGACGUUGAGGCUCGAAAGCGUGGGGAGCAAACAGGAUUAGAUACCCGGGUAGUC
rnacentral:rRNA from 1 species